UCUGGAAUGGACGGUCGACCUAGCAACGACUAGACGGCCUGGCAGGACCAGGAGACUUAAACGGCACCAAAAGUGGCCCCAAACACCCAGCUCACUUUGAUGCCCGAUUUUGCUAGGGUUUUUCAUAUUUCUUCUCCCAAUUCCAAAUUUUGUUCUCAUGGGAGAUUUUGUAGCUAGAAGAUCAAUUUUGGAGCAUUUUAAGAUAAUUUUGAGGUGAUUUGAGGAGUCUCAUGGUGGGUUUUAUCUUGGAACCUUCAAUUUCUUGAGGAGACUUGGGUGGUGAUUUGGAGAAAGCUUUUAGAAGAGUUCUUGUUUGUUGGACCUCAAGUCUCCAUUUUGGAAACUAAAGAUUUGGGUUUAAAACCUAGGUUUAACCUAACCUAGCAAUGUGAACGAGCUACAUCUUGGUUGGGAGAUCUCAAGGUAAAGAACCGGAAAAGGUUGAACUUGGUGACUCUUCAAGCGAAAGACACAAUAGAGUUGAACUUGUUAUCUCAUUUGACUAUAGACUGGAUUUGGUUGAUGUCAAUCGUUACUUACCUGCAAGUGAUGCUCAUAUAAUAUUAGAUUGUGGC